rnacentral:tRNA from 1 species
CUCCUCGUAGUUAAAUGGAUAUAACGGCCCCCUCCUAAGGGGCAAUUACAGGUUCGAUUCCUGUCGAGGGGA